UUCAAUUAAAAACCAAGCACUCAAUUUUUAUAUGUACUUAAUGUAAAUCAAAUAAUACAGACUCUAUUGUGUGUUCACCAUGCAUAUUCACCAUAAGGAGAGGAAAUUUUGCAUAAGAUAAACUUUUCCUGUAAUCUACAAAGAGAAGAAGUCACAGUUCUUUGUUUUGUAUUUGUAUCUUGAUAGCUGCCUCGAAUUUGAAGGAGCACAGAUAAUUUUCUAUCACUAUUUUCUGAGGCAACUCCAAUGACAGGUUGGG
rnacentral:lncRNA from 1 species